UUCGGACUGGCCCAGGGAGGUCGGCAACGACCACCCAGGGCCGGAAAGUUGGUCAAACUCGGUCAUUUAGAGGAAGUAAAAGUCGUAACAAGGUCUCCGUAGGUGAACCUGCGGAGGGAUCAUUA
rnacentral:rRNA from 1 species